AAUCUGGCCUCGUGGUCCGAGUUGUAAUUUGUAGAGGAUGCUUUUGGUGCGGUGCCUUCCGAGUUCCCUGGAACGGGACGCCAGAGAGGGUGAGAGCCCCGUACGGUUGGACACCUACCCUAUAUAUAGCUCCUUCGACGAGUCGAGUAGUUUGGGAAUGCUGCUCUAAAUGGGAGGUAAAUUUCUUCUAAAGCUAAAUACCGGCCAGAGACCGAUAGCGCACAAGUAGAGUGAUCGAAAGAUGAAAAGCACUUUGAAAAGAGGGUUAAAUAGCACGUGAAAUUGUUGAAAGGGAAGCGUUUGCGACCAGACUUUUUCCAGGGGGAUCAUCCGGUGUUCUCACCGGUGCACUCCGCCUGGUUUAGGCCAGCAUCGGUUCUCUUAGGGGGAUAAAGGCUUGGGGAACGUAGCUCCUUCGGGAGUGUUAUAGCCCCUUGCGUAAUACCUUCGGGGGACCGAGGAUCGCGCUCUGCAAGGAUGCUGGCGUAAUGGUCGUCAACGACCCGUCUUGAAACACGGACCAAGGAGUCGAACAUUUGUGCGAGUGUUUGGGUGUUAAACCCUCACGCGUAAUGAAAGUGAACGGAGGUGAGAGCCCUUACGGGUGCAUCAUCGACCGAUCCUGAUGUCUUCGGAUGGAUUUGAGUAAGAGCAUAACUGUUCGGACCCGAAAGAUGGUGAACUAUGCGUGGAUAGGGUGAAGCCAGAGGAAACUCUGGUGGAGGCUCGCAGCGGUUCUGACGUGCAAAUCGAUCGUCAAAUCUGCGC
rnacentral:rRNA from 1 species